rnacentral:rRNA from 1 species
CCCUUAGAUGUCCUGGGCCGCACGCGCGCUACACUGACGAAUUCAACGAGCUUAUAACCUUGGCCGAAAGGUCUAGGUAAUCUCCAAAAUUCGUCGUGAUGGGGAUAGAUUAUUGCAAUUAUUAAUCUUCAACGAGGAAUGCCUAGUAAGCGCAAGUCAUCAGCUUGCGUUGAUUACGUCCCCGCCCUUUGUACACACCACCCGUCGCUCCUACCGAUUGAAUGGUCCGGUGAAGCGUUUGGACUAUGGUUUUCUGACGGUUCGCCAUUGGAUUACCGUGGGAAAUUCGUUAAACCUUAUCAUUUAGAGGAAGGAGAAGUCGUAACA